AACGAACGCUGGCGGCAUGCCUAACACAUGCAAGUCGAACGAGACCUUCGGGUCUAGUGGCGCACGGGUGCGUAACGCGUGGGAACCUGCCCUUAGGUUCGGAAUAACUCCCCGAAAGGGGUGCUAAUACCGGAUAAUGUCUUCGGACCAAAGAUUUAUCGCCUUUGGAUGGGCCCGCGUUGGAUUAGCUAGUUGGUUGGGUAAAAGCCUACCAAGGCGACGAUCCAUAGCUGGUCUGAGAGGAUGAUCAGCCACACUGGGACUGAGACACGGCCCAGACUCCUACGGGAGGCAGCAGUGGGGAAUAUUGGACAAUGGGGGAAAGCCUGAUCCAGCAAUGCCGCGUGAGUGAUGAAGGCCUUAGGGUUGUAAAGCUCUUUUACCCGGGAUGAUAAUGACAGUACCGGGAGAAUAAGCUCCGGCUAACUCCGUG
rnacentral:rRNA from 1 species